GAUCUCUUAAAUACCAAGUCUUUCCUUAGACAGAAUAUCCCUUCUAUAGUAAUUUAAUAGCACAAUUAAAUACUACUAUUAUACCCUCAAAUAUUGAAAGAAAAAUAGGACAAGAAAGAACACAAGAGUUUUAACGAGGUUCGGUAAAUUAUACCUACGUCCUCGGGCACUAACACCAGAUGAUAACUUUACUAUCUCCAAAGUAUUACAAACAAAUAGAAUUCCUUAAGAAUUCUCAAAUGGGAGAAGAGAGAAAACUAAGAGAGAAAGAUUGGUUGGGAUGGUUGAAAUGAAAAAUGAAAAGGCCUAUUUAUAGUUGAGGUUCAGGGACUAACUUGCAAAUGGCCUAAAAAAUUAGGGACCAAAAUUGCAAUUAUCCCAUUCAACUUUUCAACAUUCGGUGCAACUUGCUCAACCUUUUUAACAAGUUGCUUCCUACCUUUGUUGACUUUUCAACAAUCUCCACCUUGAAGAUUUGAUUAGGAUAAUCACAUCUUCACAUACUUCCUUCAACUCCCCAAAUUCGAUAAAGCUAUCUUUUGUAGUGCCUCCAAAUGCGCUCUCGAGCGCCAUACACCUAAAGGUGCUCAAAUUCUCAGGAUGUUAAUCAAGUUCAAACAAUGAUUAAACUUGAUUGUUGUUACCACCUUGGUCAUCAUAUCUGCGG
rnacentral:lncRNA from 1 species